GACAUAAUUGCUUGAUGCAUCCAGCCCUGUAUACCAAAAUUUUGCAAAGAUUUACUCAUGAAUCUCCAACUGCUUUUCCUGCAUCUAUCGAUAGAGUCAGAAGAGGAGUUUGGGAUUUAUCUCCUGUGUCUAAAAUACCAAUUAGUCUCCUGGUAUUUGAGCCUGAAAAUCUAUUUAGGAUAAAGCCAAUUUGGUUCAGAUGAAUCAAAUAAGUUAGAAUUCAUUUUAGCCUUUCUGCCAGAAUGGAAUAUAAAUAACUUACCGUAUAUACUCGAGUAUAAGUCGACACAAAUAUAAGCCGAGGCCCCUAAUUUUACCCCAAAAAACUGGGAAAACUUAUUGACUUGAGUAUAAGCCUAAGGAGGGAAAUGCAGCAGCUACUGGUAAUUUAAAUAAAAUUAGAUGCCAAUCAAAUUACAUUAAUUGAAUAUUUAUUUACAGUGUGUGUAUAUAAUGAAUGCAGUGUGUAU